GAUGAACGCUGACAGAAUGCUUAACACAUGCAAGUCAACUUGAACUUCGGUUUGGGUGGCGGACGGGUGAGUAACGCGUAAAGAACUUGCCUCACAGAUAGGGACAACAUUUGGAAACGAAUGCUAAUACCUGAUAUUAUGAUUUUAGGGCAUCCUAGAAUUAUGAAAGCUAUAUGCGCUGUGAGAGAGCUUUGCGUCCCAUUAGCUAGUUGGAGAGGUAACGGCUCACCAAGGCGAUGAUGGGUAGCCGGCCUGAGAGGGUGAUCGGCCACAGGGGGACUGAGACACGGCCCUUACUCCUACGGGAGGCAGCAGUGGGGAAUAUUGGACAAUGGACCAAGAGUCUGAUCCAGCAAUUCUGUGUGCACGAUGAAGUUUUUCGGAAUGUAAAGCGCUUUCAGUUGGGAAGAAAAAAAUGACGGUACCAACAGAAGAAGUGACGGCUAAAUACGUGCCAGCAGCCGCGGUAAUACGUAUGUCACAAGCGUUAUCCGGAUUUAUUGGGCGUAAAGCGCGUCUAGGUGGUUAUAUAAGUCUGAUGUGAAAAUGCAGGGCUCAACUCUGUAUUGCGUUGGAAACUGUGUAACUAGAGUACUGGAGAGGUAAGCGGAACUACAAGUGUAGAGGUGAAAUUCGUAGAUAUUUGUAGGAAUGCCGAUGGGGAAGCCAGCUUACUGGACAGAUACUGACUCUGAAGCGCGAAAGCGUGGGUAGCAAACAGG
rnacentral:rRNA from 1 species